UACGUAGGGUGCGAGCGUUGUCCGGAAUUAUUGGGCGUAAAGAGCUCGUAGGCGGUGUGUCAGCGUCGUUCGUGAAAACCUGCAGCUUAACUGUGGGCGUGCGGUCGAGUACGGGCAUCACUGGAGUUCGGCAGGGGAGACUGGAAUUCCGGUGUAGCGGUGAAAUGCGGCAGACUAUCAGGAGGAACACCGGUGGCGAAGGCGGGUCUCUGGGGCGAGUGAACUGACGCUGGAGGAGCGAAAAGCCGUUGGGGGAGCGAAACAGG
rnacentral:rRNA from 1 species